AUCAUUUGUGGCUCAUGAAUGUGAUGAUUGGGCAUUCAUACCAUUGUAUGGGAUAUUCUUCUAUCAAAACUUUUUAUACCAUCUAUACAUUCUUCAUUUGAUA